GAAAUGCGAUAAGUAAUGUGAAUUGCAGAAUUCCGUGAAUCAUCGAAUCUUUGAACGCACAUUGCGCCCUCUGGUAUUCCGGGGGGCAUGCCUGUCCGAGCGUCAUUGCGAACCCCUCAAGCACGGCUUGUGUGAUGGGCCCUCCCGCGUCUUGGUCGUCAAGACGGGCCCGAAAUGCAGUGGCGGCUUCGCGGUUAUCCGAUCAGCCAGAGCGUAUGGGACUCUCUCUCUUGUCACACGCCCGCGGCGCGGACCGACGCCUGUCGACCUUUAUUCAUCUUCUCUCGGUUGACCUCGGAUCAGGUAGGGAUACCCGCUGAACUUAAGC
rnacentral:misc_RNA from 1 species